AUUGAACGCUGGCGGCAGGCCUAACACAUGCAAGUCGAGCGGUAGAGAGAAGCUUGCUUCUCUUGAGGGCGGCGGACGGGUGAGUAAUGCCUAGGAAUCUGCCUGGUAGUGGGGGACAACGUUUCGAAAGGAACGCUAAUACCGCAUACGUCCUACGGGAGAAAGCAGGGGACCUUCGGGCCUUGCGCUAUCAGAUGAGCCUAGGUCGGAUUAGCUAGUUGGUGAGGUAAUGGCUCACCAAGGCGACGAUCCGUAACUGGUCUGAGAGGAUGAUCAGUCACACUGGAACUGAGACACGGUCCAGACUCCUACGGGAGGCAGCAGUGGGGAAUAUUGGACAAUGGGCGAAAGCCUGAUCCAGCCAUGCCGCGUGUGUGAAGAAGGUCUUCGGAUUGUAAAGCACUUUAAGUUGGGAGGAAGGGCAGUUACCUAAUACGUGAUUGUUUUGACGUUACCGACAGAAUAAGCACCGGCUAACUCUGUG
rnacentral:rRNA from 1 species